rnacentral:miRNA from 1 species
UGAUUGCUUGUUGGAUAUUAU